GGGUUGUGAGGUUAAGCGACUAAGCGUACACGGUGGAUGCCCUGGCAGUCAGAGGCGAUGAAGGGCGUGCUAAUCUGCGAUAAGCGCCGGUAAGGUGAUAUGAACCGUUAUAACCGGCGAUACCCGAAUGGGGAAACCCAGUGUGAUUCGUCACACUAUCAUUAACUGAAUCCAUAGGUUAAUGAGGCGAACCGGGGGAACUGAAACAUCUAAGUACCCCGAGGAAAAGAAAUCAACCGAGAUUCCCCCAGUAGCGGCGAGCGAACGGGGAGGAGCCCAGAGCCUGAAUCAGCAUGUGUGUUAGUGGAAGCGUCUGGAAAGGCGCGCGAUACAGGGUGACAGCCCCGUACACAAAAGCGCAUGUGCUGUGAGCUCGAUGAGUAGGGCGGGACACGUGGUAUCCUGUCUGAAUAUGGGGGGACCAUCCUCCAAGGCUAAAUACUCCUGACUGACCGAUAGUGAACCAGUACCGUGAGGGAAAGGCGAAAAGAACCCCGGCGAGGGGAGUGAAAAAGAACCUGAAACCGUGUACGUACAAGCAGUGGGAGCCCCACCACUAAGCCAGUGGUGAACUCCACAUACGCAUCCUUUGCUGAGGAUACGGUUAACGGAGCGAAAGCGACGUUCAACCUCAAAAGAAGCAGAGGGGGCUUAGUGGUGGGGUGACUGCGUACCUUUUGUAUAAUGGGUCAGCGACUUAUAUUCUGUAGCAAGGUUAACCGAAUAGGGGAGCCGGAGGGAAACCGAGUCUUAAUUGGGCGUUAAGUUGCAGGGUAUAGACCCGAAACCCGGUGAUCUAGCCAUGGGCAGGUUGAAGGUUGGGUAACACUAACUGGAGGACCGAACCGACUAAUGUUGAAAAAUUAGCGGAUGACCUGUGGCUGGGGGUGAAAGGCCAAUCAAACCGGGAGAUAGCUGGUUCUCCCCGAAAGCUAUUUAGGUAGCGCCUCGUGAACUCAUCUCCGGGGGUAGAGCACUGUUUCGGCUAGGGGGCCAUCCCGGCUUACCAACCCGAUGCAAACUGCGAAUACCGGAGAAUGUUAUCACGGGAGACACACGGCGGGUGCUAACGUCCGUCGUGAAGAGGGAAACAACCCAGACCGCCAGCUAAGGUCCCAAAGUCAUGGUUAAGUGGGAAACGAUGUGGGAAGGCCCAGACAGCCAGGAUGUUGGCUUAGAAGCAGCCAUCAUUUAAAGAAAGCGUAAUAGCUCACUGGUCGAGUCGGCCUGCGCGGAAGAUGUAACGGGGCUAAACCAUGCACCGAAGCUGCGGCAGCGAACGUAUCACCCAAGACAACUUUACGGAGUUGACGAUUGACGGAGCGAAGCGACGUCAAAGCGUUCAUUAAAGUCGAGUUGGCUUAGGGAUACGUUCGUUGGGUAGGGGAGCGUUCUGUAAGCCUGUGAAGGUGGCCUGUGAGGGUUGCUGGAGGUAUCAGAAGUGCGAAUGCUGACAUAAGUAACGAUAAAGCGGGUGAAAAGCCCGCUCGCCGGAAGACCAAGGGUUCCUGUCCAACGUUAAUCGGGGCAGGGUGAGUCGACCCCUAAGGCGAGGCCGAAAGGCGUAGUCGAUGGGAAACGGGUUAAUAUUCCCGUACUUGGUGUUACUGCGAAGGGGGGACGGAGAAGGCUAUGUUGGCCGGGCGACGGUUGUCCCGGUUUAAGCGUGUAGGCUGGUUUUCCAGGCAAAUCCGGAAAAUCAAGGCUGAGGCGUGACGACGAGGCACUACGGUGCUGAAGCAACAAAUGCCCUGCUUCCAGGAAAAGCCUCUAAGCAUCAGGUAACAUCAAAUCGUACCCCAAACCGACACAGGUGGUCAGGUAGAGAAUACCAAGGCGCUUGAGAGAACUCGGGUGAAGGAACUAGGCAAAAUGGUGCCGUAACUUCGGGAGAAGGCACGCUGACAUGUAGGUGAAGUGAUUUACUCAUGGAGCUGAAGUCAGUCGAAGAUACCAGCUGGCUGCAACUGUUUAUUAAAAACACAGCACUGUGCAAACACGAAAGUGGACGUAUACGGUGUGACGCCUGCCCGGUGCCGGAAGGUUAAUUGAUGGGGUCAGCGCAAGCGAAGCUCCUGAUCGAAGCCCCGGUAAACGGCGGCCGUAACUAUAACGGUCCUAAGGUAGCGAAAUUCCUUGUCGGGUAAGUUCCGACCUGCACGAAUGGCGUAAUGAUGGCCAGGCUGUCUCCACCCGAGACUCAGUGAAAUUGAACUCGCUGUGAAGAUGCAGUGUACCCGCGGCAAGACGGAAAGACCCCGUGAACCUUUACUAUAGCUUGACACUGAACAUUGAGCCUUGAUGUGUAGGAUAGGUGGGAGGCUUUGAAGUGUGGACGCCAGUCUGCAUGGAGCCGACCUUGAAAUACCACCCUUUAAUGUUUGAUGUUCUAACGUGGACCCGUUACCCGGGUUGCGGACAGUGUCUGGUGGGUAGUUUGACUGGGGCGGUCUCCUCCUAAAGAGUAACGGAGGAGCACGAAGGUUGGCUAAUCCUGGUCGGACAUCAGGAGGUUAGUGCAAUGGCAUAAGCCAGCUUGACUGCGAGCGUGACGGCGCGAGCAGGUGCGAAAGCAGGUCAUAGUGAUCCGGUGGUUCUGAAUGGAAGGGCCAUCGCUCAACGGAUAAAAGGUACUCCGGGGAUAACAGGCUGAUACCGCCCAAGAGUUCAUAUCGACGGCGGUGUUUGGCACCUCGAUGUCGGCUCAUCACAUCCUGGGGCUGAAGUAGGUCCCAAGGGUAUGGCUGUUCGCCAUUUAAAGUGGUACGCGAGCUGGGUUUAGAACGUCGUGAGACAGUUCGGUCCCUAUCUGCCGUGGGCGCUGGAGAACUGAGGGGGGCUGCUCCUAGUACGAGAGGACCGGAGUGGACGCAUCACUGGUGUUCGGGUUGUCAUGCCAAUGGCACUGCCCGGUAGCUAAAUGCGGAAGAGAUAAGUGCUGAAAGCAUCUAAGCACGAAACUUGCCCCGAGAUGAGUUCUCCCUGAGACUUAGAGUCUCCUGAAGGAACGUUGAAGACGACGACGUUGAUAGGCCGGGUGUGUAAGCGCAGCGAUGCGUUGAGCUAACCGGUACUAAUGAACCGUGAGGCUUAACCUUACAACGCCGAAG
rnacentral:rRNA from 4 species